rnacentral:lncRNA from 1 species
GAUGGAUUCAUGAUAACUUAAAUGAAGGGCAUCUCGAUUAUUUCUUCUGACUUUUUUCCUGGGCUCAGUUUUCUAAACCUUCUGGUUUAUGUUUACUGUGCCAUGAGGUGUAAAAAUAAGAGGACUUCUUGAAUUCCAACUUUAUUUUAUUGACUUUAAAAAAUUUCAGAGCAUGCUCUAAUAUGCACAGAUGUUGUGUCUUCCGCAGUACAUGCAGUCUCAUUUUUUACCAUGUAUAAGUAUUCUCCUUGUAUGAUGUUUUACAUUGGGACA